CCUACGGGUGGCAGCAGUGAGGAAUAUUGGUCAAUGGGCGGAAGCCUGAACCAGCCAAGUCGCGUGAGGGAAUAAGGCCCUACGGGUCGUAAACCUCUUUUGCCGGGGAGCAAGGGCUGGGACGUGUCCCGUCCCGGAGAGUACCCGGCGGAAAAGCAUCGGCUAACUCCGUGCCAGCAGCCGCGGUAAUACGGAGGGUGCGAGCGUUCUCCGGAUUUAUUGGGUUUAAAGGGUGCGUAGGCGGGCUUUUAAGUCAGCGGUAAAAAUUCGGGGCUCAACCCCGUCCGGCCGUUGAAACUGGGGGCCUUGAGUGGGCGAGAAGAAGGCGGAAUGCGUGGUGUAGCGGUGAAAUGCAUAGAUAUCACGCAGAACCCCGAUUGCGAAGGCAGCCUUCCGGCGGCCGACUGACGCUGAGGCACGAAAGUGCGGGGAUCGAACAGGAUUAGAUACCCCUGUAGUC
rnacentral:rRNA from 1 species